GGGAUCAUCGUCAUCAUCGAAGGUUCAUGUCAUAAAAUGAAUCCCGAUUAGAAACUCAACGACAAAAACUCAUGCCUCAACUCAUGCUCUAUAUUAUAUUCUAUCUCUUAACCAACUCUACAUAAACUCUUUACUCAUUUCAAAUCCUUAAGUCCAAGGAUAGGAUUCAAGAAAAUCAUGGUUCUAGGUCUCGAUUCAUCUCUCAUAUAAGACUCGUCUAAUCUCAUUCAAACACUUAGGCAACACAAUCACAUAAGGCACAUAAGAAAAUACCAUCAAACAUCAUCAAGACAUGUUCUGUUUUUACACAGACUCGACUUCAAACUUUAACACGUUCUGACUCCGACAUCCCCUGGACUCCAGACUCAUACCAAAAGAAAGGUAUGUGAGUCUAGUUUCAUUUAAAAAAAAGUAGAGUCAGAAACUCCAAGUGGUUUGGGAGAUA
rnacentral:lncRNA from 1 species